CGCACCUUGCGCUUCUUGGUAUUCCGAGAAGCAUGCCUGUUUGAGUGUCAUAAAAUUCUCAAGUUUUGAAUCUAGCUAAGAAUCAGACUUGGAUUUAUGGAAGUUGCUGGCUUUUUAAAAAAUGAGUUAGCUCUUCUUAAAUAAAUUAGCAAGAUAACCUGCUAAUCAUCAUUUGAUAUGAUAAAUUAUCUAUAUCAUUGAUUAAUAGCGCAUUUUGCUUCUAAUAACUUCUUUUUUACAUUGUAUUUGACCUCAAAUCAGGUAGGAUUACCCGCUGAACUUAA
rnacentral:misc_RNA from 1 species